rnacentral:rRNA from 1 species
GACGAACGCUGGCGGCGUGCUUAACACAUGCAAGUCGAAUGAAGAGCGAUGGAGGCUUGCUUCUAUCAAUCUUAGUGGCGCACGGGUGUGUAACGCGUAAUCAACCUGCCCUUCAGUGGGGGACAACAGUUGGACACGACUGCUAAUACCGCAUACGUUCUAAUCUCGGCAUCGAGGAUAGAUGAAAGGUGGCCCCUACAUGUAAGCUAUCACUGAAGGUGGGGAUUGCGUCUGAUUAGCUAGUUGGGUGGGUAACGGCCCACCAAAGCGAUGAUCAGUAGCCGGACUGAGAGGAUGAACGGCCACAUUGGGACUGAGACACGGCCCAGACUCCUACGGGAGGCAGCAGUGGGGAAUCUUCCGCAAUGGACGAAAGUCUGACGGAGCAACGCCGCGUGAGUGAUGACGGCCUUCGGGUUGUAAAGCUCUGUUAAUCGGGACGAAAGGCCUUCUUGCGAAUAGUGAGAAGGAUUGACGGUACCGAAAUAGAAAGCCACGGCUAACUACGUG